UACGAAGGGUGCAAGCGUUACUCGGAAUUACUGGGCGUAAAGCGUGCGUAGGCGGUUUGUUAAGUCUGUCGUGAAAGCCCCGGGCUCAACCUGGGAAUGGCGAUGGAUACUGGCGAGCUAGAGUACGGUAGAGGAGAGUGGAAUUCCCGGUGUAGCAGUGAAAUGCGUAGAGAUCGGGAGGAACAUCAGUUGCGAAGGCGGCUCUCUGGACCAGUACUGACGCUGAGGCACGAAGGCGUGGGGAGCAAACAGG
rnacentral:rRNA from 1 species